GAUGAACGCUGGCGGCGUGCCUAAUACAUGCAAGUCGAGCGAAUGGAUUAAGAGCUUGCUCUUAUGAAGUUAGCGGCGGACGGGUGAGUAACACGUGGGUAACCUGCCCAUAAGACUGGGAUAACUCCGGGAAACCGGGGCUAAUACCGGAUAACAUUUUGAACCGCAUGGUUCGAAAUUGAAAGGCGGCUUCGGCUGUCACUUAUGGAUGGACCCGCGUCGCAUUAGCUAGUUGGUGAGGUAACGGCUCACCAAGGCAACGAUGCGUAGCCGACCUGAUAGGGUGAUCGGCAACACUGGGACUGAGACACGGCCCAGACUCCUACGGGAGGCAGCAGUAGGGAAUCUUCCGCAAUGGACGAAAGUCUGACGGAGCAACGCCGCGUGAGUGAUGAAGGCUUUCGGGUCGUAAAACUCUGUUGUUAGGGAAGAACAAGUGCUAGCUGAAUAAGCUGGCACCUUGACGGUACCUAACCAGAAAGCCACGGCUAACUACGUGCCAGCAGCCGCCGUAA
rnacentral:rRNA from 1 species